UACAGAGGUCCCAAGCGUUGUUCGGAUUCACUGAGCGUAAAGGGUGCGUAGGCGGUCGGGUAAGUCUGAUGUGAAAUCUCACAGCUUAACUGUGAAACUGCAUUGGAUACUAUUCGGCUUGAGAGUUGGAGGGGGGACUGGAAUUCUUGGUGUAGCAGUGAAAUGCGUAGAUAUCAAGAGGAACACCAGUGGCGAAGGCGAGUCCCUGGACAACUUCUGACGCUGAGGCACGAAAGCUAGGGGAGCAAACAGG
rnacentral:rRNA from 1 species